CCUGGCGGACGUAGCGCGGUGGUCCGACCUGACCCCAUGCCGAACUCAGAAGUGAAACGCCGUAGCGCCGAUGGUAGUGUGGGGUCUCCCCAUGCGAGAGUAGGGAACUGCCAGGC
rnacentral:rRNA from 1 species